UAUGUCCUUCUCUGUAAGUCGCUUUGGAUAAAAGCAUCUGCUAAAUGUAAUGUA
rfam:Larimichthys crocea isolate SSNF unplaced genomic scaffold scaffold1119, whole genome shotgun sequence.